rnacentral:rRNA from 1 species
GAUGAACGCUAGCGGGAGGCCUAACACAUGCAAGCCGAGCGGGAUUUGAUACUAGCUUGCUAGUCUUAUUGAGAGCGGCGUACGGGUGCGGAACACGUGUGCAACCUGCCUUUAUCUUGGAGAUAGCCUCUCGAUAGGAUGAUUAAUAUCCCAUAAUAUAAUGAUUGGCAACAAUCAUUAUUUAAAUCUCCGUCGGAUAGAGAAGGGCACACGAAAGAUUAGAUAGUUGGAGAGGUAACGGCUCACCAAGUCGAUGAUCUUUAGGGGGCCUGAGGGGGUGAUCCACCACACUGGUACUGAGACACGGACCAGACUCCUACGGGAGGCAGCAGUGAGGAAUAUUGGACAAUGGGUGAAAGCCUGAUCCAGCCAUCCCGCGUGAAGGAUUAAGGACCUAUGGUUUGUAAACUUCUUUUCUACAGGGAUAAACCUACCCUCGUGAGAGUAGCUGAAGGUACUGUAGGAAUAAGCACCGGCUAACUCCGUGCCAGCAGCCGCAGUAAUAC